rnacentral:rRNA from 1 species
ACGCCUAACACAUGCAAGUCGAACGAAGUAGCAAUACUUAGUGGCAGACGGGUGAGUAACAUGUAGGUAUCUGCCCUUUGGCCUGGAAUAACACGAGGAAACUUGUGCUAAUACCAGAUAAGUCUUUACGGAGAAAGCUUUAUGCACCAUUGGAUGAGCCUGCACUUGAUUAGUUUGUUGGUGGGGUAAUGGCCUACCAAGACUGUGAUCAAUAGCUGAUUUGAGAGGAUGAUCAGCCACAUUGGGACUGAGACACGGCCCAAACUCCUACGGGAGGCAGCAGUGGGGAAUCUUGCACAAUGGAGGAAACUCUGAUGCAGCGAUGCCGCGUGAGUGAAGAAGGCCCUUGGGUUGUAAAGCUCUUUCGUCGGGGAAGAAAAUGACUGUACCCGAAUAAGAAGGUCCGGC